GGAGCUGGAGCCUGGGGCUAUCCUGACACCACGUGCAGAGGCAAGGACGUUCGAUGUCAACCGUUUUAGCAAAAAGGAAAAACGCCAUGUGUUGUAGUUGGAGCCGUUUAAGGCGUAGAUGCUUGUUUUACUUGAAAAGAUAUUCUUUAGUGAUGUUCUGGACGGGUAUCAAUAGUUUAGUCUUUUGGACGACUUAUAACGAUUAUAAAAGGCAACCGGAGCAUUAUUAUCUUCAUCAGAUUUUAGGAUCAGGUUUGUGUUUAUCUAGAGCGACAGCUGCAGUUCUGAACUUCAACUGUUUCGUCAUUGUCUUACCCAUGUGUAGGACGGUUACUUCGAUAUUCAGAUCUAUAUUCGGAGGAACUACCAUAAAAAGUAUACAGAUAUGGAUAGAAAUCGGGAAAAGUUUCCAUAUAUUAUGCGCUGUUACCAUCGUUAUUGCUGCAGUUAUUCAUUCAGCUGCACACGUGGUCAACGCGCACAACUUCUCUCAAUAUUACAACCCCCACUUCCCAGAAAUAAAUAUGGCAUCUUAUAAAUAUGAGAAUUCUUUUCUGAUGAUUAUUCGUUCAGUUCCUGGUAUUACUGGUUUGUGUAUGAUUGUUAUUCUUUUUUUAUUAAUUACUUCAUCUUUAAAGCGAAUCAGGACAGCUUUUUACAAUUUAUUUUGGUUUACACACAGAUUAUUUAUUUUGUUUCUUCUAUUAUUGUUUUGUCAUCCUAUGGGUGGAGUGUUAAAGGAACAAAGUAACGUGGAUAAACAUGUUCCGGGUUGCAUCCCUGUUAAUGCUACUUUAGAAAAUUUGCUAAGUAAACCCGCCGAUCAUCCUAUUUGUAAAGAAGCGCCAGUAUUUGUGCCACAAUCUUCCGAAACGUGGAAGUGGAUAGUAGCCGCUUUAGUUGUAUACGGAAUUGACGUUGCCAUAAGAUUAAUUCGAAGAUGUUCCGCCGUUCAAGUACUCGCUCUGAGGAUUUACGGUGGCUCUGUUCUAGAAUUGAGGUUAUUAAAAGCGGGUUUUAGAGCACUUCCGGGGCAGUACGUUUUACUGCAAUGUCCAGCUAUAUCGUCAUUUGAAUGGCAUCCAUUUACUGUUAGUUCGUGCCCGACCGAAAAGGAACCGAGUUUUACUCUACACAUAAGAACUAAAGGAGAUUGGUCAUAUAGCCUUCAACGACAUCUUCUCGAAGAAAUGGGUUUUAGUGGAUUGAAUAUUAAAUCCUCCGAACUGUUAGUUAAUCCUCAUCGUAACGUCACCGGUUUAUAUGUAGAUGGACCAUUCUGCAGCAACUCGGAAAGUGUAAGGAAUUACGAAAUUAGCAUUUGUAUAGCCGGAGGAAUAGGCGUUACUCCAUUUGUAUCAAUUCUUACUUACUUAAGGGUAUGAUCGGUGAACAGUACGGCCUUUUAGAGGCUAGAUUACAUAUCGGACGUCCGAAAUGGAAGAAAGUAUUCAGAAAUUGGACCGAAAUUUAUGAAAAAAUACGAGUUGGAGUAUUUUGUUGCG
rnacentral:misc_RNA from 1 species